rnacentral:rRNA from 1 species
UGGGGAAUUUUGGACAAUGGGCGCAAGCCUGAUCCAGCCAUGCCGCGUGCGGGAAGAAGGCCUUCGGGUUGUAAACCGCUUUUGUCAGGGAAGAAAUCUUCUGAGUUAAUACCUCGGGAGGAUGACGGUACCUGAAGAAUAAGCACCGGCUAACUACGUGCCAGCAGCCGCGGUAAUACGUAGGGUGCAAGCGUUAAUCGGAAUUACUGGGCGUAAAGCGUGCGCAGGCGGUUUUGUAAGACAGAGGUGAAAUCCCCGGGCUCAACCUGGGAACUGCCUUUGUGACUGCAAGGCUUGAGUGCGGCAGAGGGGGAUGGAAUUCCGCGUGUAGCAGUGAAAUGCGUAGAUAUGCGGAGGAACACCGAUGGCGAAGGCAAUCCCCUGGGCCUGCACUGACGCUCAUGCACGAAAGCGUGGGGAGCAAACAGGAUUAGAUACCCUGGUAGUCCACGCCCUAAACGAUGUCAACUGGUUGUUGGGAAGGUUCCUUCUCAGUAACGUAGCUAACGCGUGAAAGUUGACCGCCUGGGGAGUACGGCCGCAAGGUUGAAAACUCAAAGGAAUUGACGGGGUCAUAGCUGUUUCCUG